AGAUUUGUGCCCGAAUUAUUAAGGGCCACUUUGAUAGAGUGAACCACGGGGGUUAGAAUCCCCCCAAAUCUU
rnacentral:tRNA from 1 species